rnacentral:rRNA from 1 species
GACGAACGCUGGCGGCGUGCUUAACACAUGCAAGUCGAACGGAAAGGCCCCUUUGGGGGUCCUCGAGUGGCGAACGGGUGAGUAACACGUGAGUAACCUGCCCUUGACUUCGGGAUAACUUCAGGAAACUGGGGCUAAUACCGGAUAGGAAUCCUUGCUGCAUGGUGGGGGUUGGAAAGCUUCGGCGGUUUUGGAUGGACUCGCGGCUUAUCAGCUUGUUGGUGGGGUAGUGGCUUACCAAGGCUUUGACGGGUAGCCGGCCUGAGAGGGCGACCGGCCACAGUGGGACUGAGAUACGGCCCAGACUCCUACGGGAGGCAGCAGGGGGGAAUAUUGCACAAUGGGCGGAAGCCUGAUGCAGCAACGCCGCGGGCGGGAUGACGGCCUUCGGGUUGUAAACCGCUUUCAGCAGGGGCGAAGCUUGUGGUGACGGUACCUGCAGAAGAAGCACCGGCUAACUACGUG